rnacentral:rRNA from 1 species
UACAGAGGUGGCAAGCGUUGUUCGGAAUUACUGGGCGUAAAGGGCGAGUAGGUGGCCAUCUAAGUCAGACGUGAAAUCCCUCGGCUUAACCGAGGAACUGCGUCCGAUACUGAAAGGCUUGAAUCCGGGAGAGGGAUGUGGAAUUCCAGGUGUAGCGGUGAAAUGCGUAGAUAUCUGGAGGAACACCGGUGGCGAAGGCGGCAUCCUGGACCGGUAUUGACGCUGAGGUGCGAAAGCGUGGGGAGCAAACAGG